rnacentral:misc_RNA from 1 species
GUCUUAUUGAUAAUAAUUUUAAGUCUAAUCUGCCCAAUGAAAAUUUAAAUGGCUGCAGUAUUUUAACUGUACAAAGGUAGCAUAAUAAUUAGUCUUUUAAUUAGAGACUAGAAUGAAUGAUUGAACGAGAUAAUAACUGUCUCUUAUUAAAUUUUAGAAUUUUAUUUUUAAGUUAAAAAGCUUAAAUAUAUUUAAAAGACGAGAAGACCCUAUAGAGUUUUAUAUUUAAAUAAAAAUUAAAAUUUAGUUAAAGAUUUUUUUUAUUUUUAAUAAAUAUUUGAUUGGGGUGAUUAAAAAAUUUAAUAAACUUUUUAUAUUAUUUAUCAUAGAUUAAUGAAUUUUUGAUCCAAUAUUUUUGAUUAUAAGAUUAAAUUACCUUAGGGAUAACAGCGUAAUUUUUUUUAAGAGUUCUUAUCGAAAAAAAAGAUUGCGACCUCGAUGUUGGAUUAAAAUUAAUUUUUGGCGUAGAAGUUAAAAAAUUAGGUCUGUUCGACCUUUAAAAUUUUACAUGAUCUGAGUUUAAAUCGGCGUGAGCCAGGUUGGUUUCUAUCUUUAAAAAAUGAAUAUAUUUUAGUACGAAAGGACCAAAUAUUUAUAAAAUUUAUUAUAAAUUGAUUAAUAUUAAUAUUACUUUGGCAGAUUAGUGCAUUAAAUUUAGAAUUUAAAUAUGUAUUUAUACAGGUAAUAU